rnacentral:rRNA from 1 species
AUGCUGACGGUGUCAUCCAUGGUGCCACCACGUCAACCUCAACCUGGGGGAUCCCCUUCCCGCGCGGCGUUCUUCUACGCCACGAUCUACAUGGUGGCGCUGGCGCAGGGCUUCCACAAGCCCAAUGCGCAGGCCCUCGGCGCGGACCAGUUCCCCCGGAGCUCCCCGGACAGCAUCGCGUCCCGCAGCUCUUUCUUCAACUGGCUCCACUUCGCCAUGUGGUGGGGGUUCAUUGUCGCCGUCGUCGGGCUGAGCUACGUGCAGGACAACGUCGGCUGGGAUGCCGUGUUCGGGGCAUCCUGGGCCAUGAUGCUCGCGUCCAUGUCCUUGUUCUUGCUCGGCACGGGCAUGUAUCGUGUCGCCGAGCAGCCACGCGACCGGCGUGCUCUCGCGAGGCUCACGAGAACGUUUGCAGCUACGGCGCGUACAUGGACAGACAUGGUCUUUCGUCGCAGCGCCGCCAUGGACGAUGAAUGUUUGCUGAGGCCAAAAGAGCAGGAAGGCAAGGGGGUCAUGGUGAAGCUGCUUCCGAUAUGGAUGACCAGCGUCGUGUACGCAAUGGUGAUCGUGCAGGUGUCCACUCUGUUCACCAAGCAGGGCAGCACCAUGGACCGGCGCAUCGGCGCGACCACAGGCCUAGUCGUGCCCCCGACGGCGCUGCAGAGCUUCGUGGGCCUGGCCAUCAUCGCGUCCGUCCCGGUCUACGACCGCGCGUUCGUGCCCCUCGCGAGGCGCGUGACCAAGCACCCCUCCGGGAUCACCAUGCUCCAGCGCAUCGGCGCCGGCAUGGCCAUCGCGACCGUCGCCAUGGCCGUCGCGGGGCUCGUGGAGGCCGCGCGCCUCCGCGAGGCCAGGGACGCCAGCCUGGUGGACCGUCCGGGGGUGGCGGUGCCGAUGAGCCUGUGGUGGAUGGUGCCGCAGUACGUGCUGCUGGGCCUCGCCAACGUGUUCACCAUCGUGGGGCUGGAGGAGUUCUUCUACGACCAGGUGCCCGACGCGCUCCGGAGCGUCGGGCUCGCGCUCUGCAUGAGCAUCAUGGGCGUGGGGAGCUAUGCCAGCGGCGUGCUCGUGUCGGCGAUCGACUGGGCGACGAGGCGCACGGGGGAGAGCUGGUUCUCGGACAACCUCAACCGCGCCCACCUCGACUACUUCUACUGGGCUCUGGCCGGGGUCGCUGCUCUGGAGGUGCUCGUUUUCUUCUAUUUUUCCAGGAGAUACGUCUACACUAACAAACGCGACCUUGUAACGUAG